rnacentral:rRNA from 1 species
CACCGGCGGCUCGAGUGGUAACCGUUAUUAUUGGGUCUAAAGGGUCUGUAGCCGGCCGGAUAAGUCUCUUGAGAAAUCUGGCAGCUUAACUGUCAGGCUUUCAGGAGAUACUGUCUGGCUCGAGGCCGGGAGAGGUGAGAGGUACUUCAGGGGUAGGGGUGAAAUCUUGUAAUCCUUGAGGGACCACCAGUGGCGAAGGCGUCUCACCAGAACGGACCUGACGGCAAGGGACGAAAGCUAGGGGCACGAACCGG